rnacentral:rRNA from 1 species
UGAGGAAUAUUGGACAAUGGACGAAAGUCUGAUCCAGCCAUGCCGCGUGCAGGAUGAAUGCCCUAUGGGUUGUAAACUGCUUUUAUAUAGGAAGAAAACCCUCCACGUGUGGAGGCUUGACGGUACUAUAAGAAUAAGGAUCGGCUAACUCCGUGCCAGCAGCCGCGGUAAUACGGAGGAUCCAAGCGUUAUCCGGAAUUAUUGGGUUUAAAGGGUCCGCAGGCGGCCUAUUAAGUCAGAGGUGAAAUCCAACAGCUCAACUGUUGAACUGCCUUUGAUACUGAUAGACUUGAGUUAUUGUGAAGUGGUUAGAAUGUGUGGUGUAGCGGUGAAAUGCUUAGAUAUCACACAGAAUACCCAUUGCGAAGGCAGAUCACUAACAAUAUACUGACGCUCAUGGACGAAAGCGUGGGGAGCGAACGGG